CCUCACCACAGGUUAUCGCAAAGGGAGUCAAUGAGGAGAUGGGGUUUUUCCAGAAAUAUUUAACCCAAUACCAAAAUUUGAUGGCUAUUACUUGCCCGAAUUUAUAAUCGCUGCCUGAACGGAGAGAUGGAAAGAACUCGCCAUUAAAACAUCCGGAGGCUCCCAGAAACAGAACUGAGCAGAGUAUGAUGCCUCGGAAAUAUGAAUACUGCACUGUGCAACAUUAAUGUCUGGGUUCUACAAUAAAUAAAAAACAAACUAUUCAUGGCAUGGACAACUAAGUACGCAUUGAUAUUAUUACUGAGAUAGACAGACAGGUAUUCACGAGAAAGAGGAUCGAAGGUUACGGGGAGCAGGCACAAGAAUAAGUUUGAGAAACAUCGACUAGGACGAAUGGCAGAACAGGCUGGAUGGACAGAAUGGCCAAAUGUUGUUUCUGCAUUUUAAAAAUCAUAAUGCGAUUCUUUACAUGGAAUAACCAGAUUACAGUACAGUCUUGAAUCGCCGAAUAGCCUAUUAUCUACACUGUAGGAAUACUUGCAAUUAUGAAAUCAUUGGUUACCGUAAACAGCAACAAAGCGGAUCCACUGUUAAUGCUCUCGGAAAUAUGAAUACUGCAAUAUGUAACAUUGCAGUAACCAGCUGCCUCUAACAAACGGAAGGGUUGUGAUUCAAAUUCAAAGACGACAGAAGAUCUGACGAGUUAGAAUUGACAGUGGGGCAGUUGUGGUGUGUAGGAACAUCAAGCAAGUACUCAAAGGAUCAAGACAUUAUAAUGUUCCCUCGGUACAGAGCCACGUGUGACCAGCUGCUUCGAACAAACAGCAGUUGAUACUAACCCAGGGAGAAGAGUGAAUUGUGAAGAUGAUGCUGAGUGACUUCACAGCAAGAUUGACAAGUUUACCAAAUGGGCAGAAAUCUGGCAGAUGAAUUCCAAUGCAGAGAAAUGAGAGGUUAUUCAUUUUGCU